rnacentral:snoRNA from 1 species
UAAAGAUGAUGAAUUACAAUCCUUGCGCUCCGAGCUCUUCGGAGCCAUGCGGAUAAGAUAUUGGUACUUGUGACUGCGCUGCAGUUGCAAGCUGAUU